rnacentral:rRNA from 1 species
AUUGAACGCUGGCGGCAUGCUUUACACAUGCAAGUCGAACGGCAGCGCGGGCUUCGGCCUGGCGGCGAGUGGCGAACGGGUGAGUAAUACAUCGGAACGUGCCCAGUAGUGGGGGAUAGCUCGGCGAAAGCCGGAUUAAUACCGCAUACGACCUGAGGGUGAAAGCGGGGGAUCUUCGGACCUCGCGCUAUUGGAGCGGCCGAUGGCAGAUUAGCUAGUUGGUGGGGUAAAGGCCUACCAAGGCGGCGAUCUGUAGCUGGUCUGAGAGGACGACCAGCCACACUGGGACUGAGACACGGCCCAGACUCCUACGGGAGGCAGCAGUGGGGAAUUUUGGACAAUGGGCGAAAGCCUGAUCCAGCAAUGCCGCGUGUGUGAUGAAGGCCUUCGGGUUGUAAAGCACUUUUGGCGGGAACGAAAAGGACUGUGCCAAUACCACGGUUCGAUGACGGUACCCGCAGAAUAAGCACCGGCUAACUACGU